CAGUCGCCACGGUAAUACGUAGGGUGCGAGCGUUAAUCGGAAUUACUGGGCGUAAAGCGUGCGCAGGCGGUUUUGUAAGACAGGCGUGAAAUCCCCGGGCUCAACCUGGGAAUGGCGCUUGUGACUGCAAAGCUAGAGUGCGGCAGAGGGGGAUGGAAUUCCGCGUGUAGCAGUGAAAUGCGUAGAUAUGCGGAGGAACACCGAUGGCGGAGGCAAUCCCCUGGGCCUGCACUGACGCUCAUGCACGAAAGCGUGGGGAGCAAACAGGAUUAGAUACCCCGGUAGUCCCUGUCUCUUAUAC
rnacentral:rRNA from 1 species